rnacentral:rRNA from 1 species
UACGUAGGGGGCAAGCGUUGUCCGGAAUCAUUGGGCGUAAAGAGCGUGUAGGCGGUUCGGUAAGUCCGCUGUGAAAGUCCAGGGCUCAACCCUGGAAAGCCGGUGGAAACUGUCGAGCUCGAGUCCGGAAGAGGCGAGUGGAAUUCCUGGUGUAGCGGUGAAAUGCGCAGAUAUCAGGAGGAACACCAAUGGCGAAGGCAGCUCGCUGGGACGGCACUGACGCUGAGACGCGAAAGCGUGGGGAGCAAACAGG